rnacentral:precursor_RNA from 14 species
UCGCCGUGGCUCACUCUGGCCUCCAGGGCCUUGUAUGUGGCAGGCUUUCAUUCAUUCGUUGCAUGUCCGGUGAAGGUCUGCUAUGUGCCAAGCCCUGUGCCAGCCAUCGUGUAACGGAGCUC